rnacentral:miRNA from 1 species
CUGCACUGCAUCUUCCCUGUGC